rnacentral:rRNA from 1 species
GCAUCAAAAUUAGGCAGGCGUGUGUAAUCGGCAGCGACUACUACCGCAUCGGAGUUAGGGAAGCGUGUACCAUUGGCAGCGAGUAAUGACUGGUAGUAAAUACUCUAGCGUGGAUAUGUUGUUUCAUAACUACAGCCGCCUGAUUCUCAUGCUAACACCGACUGUCUUUCAGGUCUGCCUUCCGGGUUGGCGCCAUCAUUAUGUUCUUGCCGAGCAAUGUGUAGCAGUUGCCGCUCGCAAGACUCGAUCCCCCGUUCCCGCGCUGGUGUGCUAGGUGAUGGCAAAACUCCCGAUAGUUGGUCGCAGUGUGCAGCAUAGUAGUAGGAAACCCAACGAGAGCAUGAGGCUUGUCGUUGUGACCAUCAUCGGGGUGGUCUUUGGUUUCUUCAUCGGGAUCUCCUUCCCAACAGUCAGCAUAACAAAGCUUCACUUCCCUUCUAGCAUUGUUUCCUACAUAGAGGACAAGAACUCUGGACUCACAGCUCAGGCUAUACUUAACCAUGCCUGGAUUUCUGCUAGAAACGCAAGGGGCAAUGCUUCUGAAUCUAGUUCAAACACUACCAUGAAGAUAUAUGUACCAACAAACCCCAGGGGCGCAGAGAUGCUAGCACCUGGCAUCAUUGCAUCAGAGUCUGAUUUCAAUGCUCACAGACUAUGGGGAGACCCGGCUGAGGACCUACCCUUCAAGCCAAAGUACCUUGUUACUUUCACUGUUGGAAUUGCACAGAAGGAUAACAUAAAUAGAGCAGUCCAGAAGUUUUCUGAUGACUUUGCUAUCCUGUUAUUUCACUAUGAUGGCCAUGUGACUGAAUGGGAGGAAUUUGAGUGGUCAAAACGAGCGAUUCAUGUUAGUGUUCUGAAACAAGCGAAAUGGUGGUAUGCUAAAAGAUUCUUGCAUCCUGAUAUCGUGGCACCUUAUGAGUACAUAUUUAUCUGGGAUGAAGACCUUGGAGUUGAUCAUUUCAAUGGAGAGGAGUAUAUCAAACUUGUCAAGAAAUAUCAGCUGGAAAUCUCACAACCUGGUUUGGAGCCAGAUAAGGGAUUGACAUGGCAGAUGACCAAAAGAAGAGGGGAUCGCGAGGUUCACAAGGAUACUGAGGAGAGGCCAGGCUGGUGCACGGAUCCUCAUCUUCCACCAUGUGCUGCUUUUGUUGAAAUUAUGGCUCCGGUUUUCUCCAGAGAUGCAUGGAGAUGUGUAUGGCAUAUGAUUCAGAAUGACUUGGUUCAUGGAUGGGGUCUGGAUUUUGCUCUGAGGAAAUGUGUGGAGCCUGCUCACGAGAAAAUCGGUGUCGUCGACUCCCAGUGGAUCGUACACCAAGUGGUUCCUUCUCUUGGGAACCAGGGACAGGCGGAGAACGGGAAGGCGCCGUGGGAAGGGGUGCGGGAGCGCUGCCGAAAAGAGUGGGGGAUCUUCCAGACGAGGAUCGCGGAGGCCGACAAGGCGUAUUACGAGAUGAUGGGCGUCACCCCUCCCAACGUAACAUUUGUCCACUAGGCUGUCGUCGUAUACCUCGCCGCUGUUAAUCCUCCCUCCCCCCUUUUUUGUCAUCUCUAGAGCCCUUAUUGUAGUGAGCUUAGGUGAAUGGUGAUGAUAUUGAUGAUACGUGUAGAGCAUACACAGAUAUCAUACCAUAUCAGGUUAAUUUUGUUACCUCCCUUUUCUGCUCUGUGUGCUUCUCCCUUUCUGCUGUGUAUAUUCUUCUCCCA